rnacentral:rRNA from 1 species
GUCCACGCUGUAAACGAUGAGAACUAGGUGUAGGGAAUACCCUGUGCCGAAGCUAACGCAUUAAGUUCUCCGCCUGGGGAGUACGUUCGCAAGAAUGAAACUUAAAGGAAUUGACGGGGCCCGCACAAGCAGUGGAGCAUGUGGUUUAAUUCGACGCAACGCGAAGAACCUUACCAGGGCUUGACAUAGUUGUCCAAAGCUCUAGAGAUAGAGAAAUAGUUAGGACUUUUACAGGUGGUGCAUGGUUGUCGU